rnacentral:snRNA from 1 species
GUUCUCACUUCAGCAGCACAUAUACUAAAAUUGGAAUGAUAAAGAGAAGAUUAGCAUGGCUCCUGUACAAGAAUUACAUGCAAAUUCAUGAAGCAUCCCAUAUUUUU